GUGCUCACUUCAGCUGCACAUAUACUAAAAUUGGAACAAUACCGAGACGAUUAGCAUGGCCUCUGUGCAAGGAUGACAUGCAAAUUGGUGAAGUGUUACAUAUUGAA